rfam:Ricinus communis cultivar Hale ctg_1100012314338, whole genome shotgun sequence.
GUGUCCAUGAUGUGGGCAUUGCAGUAAGAGUGACUUGAAGCGAUCUCAUGCUUAAUGAAAGGAUUUAUUAUCCUUUUGAUAAAAAUUUGAAAUUUCAGUCCUUAAUUC